GAUGAACGCUAGCUACAGGCUUAACACAUGCAAGUCGCGGGCAGCAUGAAUUUAGCUUGCUAAAUUUGAUGGCGACCGGCGCACGGGUGAGUAACGCGUAUCCAACCUGCCCAUGUCCACGGGAUAGCCCGUCGAAAGGCGGAUUAAUACCGUAUGAGGUCACACGAUGGCAUCUAAGUGUGACGAAAGGUUUGGCGGACAUGGAUGGGGAUGCGUCCGAUUAGCUAGUUGGCGGGUAACGGCCCACCAAGGCGACGAUCGGUAGGGGUUCUGAGACGGAAGGUCCCCCACAUUGGAACUGAGACACGGUCCAAACUCCUACGGGAGGCAGCAGUGAGGAAUAUGGUCAAUGGACGUAAGUCUGAACCAGCCAAGUAGCGUGCAGGAUU
rnacentral:rRNA from 1 species